UGACAAUGAUGACAAUCCUACAAGGCUUGUUUCUCAAAACAUUCGCAGUGGCCGCCGGAUAUAGCUUUCGCCUACGCCAGGCUUGAGAGCUGAUGUUGCUCCUCUCCUUCCUUGGAUGUCUGAGUCA